UGGUAAGUGUACACAACUGUACUUUAUGUACUUACCAUAACUUGGCAUUUGUGUUGUCCAUUUUCAUUCUCCACUUCUCUCCCAUGCAUCCCCCAGCCUUGUCUGUCCUAGAAGUAGCUGGUAGAUGGUAUUUGAACCUUUCAGUUCCAGGUUUGAGCCCUAACAUUUUCUUGGAUUUUUUUCCAUCUCUUUUAUAAAUUGGGAGAAGAUGCAAUAAACUUGAUCUGACAAGUUGGGGAGAGAAUUGUGCAUUUUGGGUACAGGGAGGAGCUUGAGAAUUGGAUCUAAAGUCUUUUGUUUGUUGCCGAGUUGGAUCAGAGGGUCAGAUCCAAACCCAUCUGUGAGAAAGAAUGGAGCUGGACAAUACAGAUGCCAAGUUAUGGUAAGCACAUAACUUAUACAUUUUCAAUUUGUGCCCUUUACAGAGACAUGGAUCCCUUCUCUGAACCAGUCUCUGAAGUUUUCAGUUUUCUGGUUUCCAUUUUUAACAAUGGAGUGAGUUAUUCUACUAUUAAAGUUAAAUCAGUGGAUAUUUCUAAUUUGCAAUUAGGUGAGAAUCUCUCCUCUUGCUUCUUUGAAGUUGUGCAUGGCCUUUCUUAAGGGUGCCUUUUUACUCAGAUCCCCAGUGGAAGACCUCACCCCCACUUGGGAUUUGACUAUUCUAUUGCAAGCUCUAACCCAUCCUCCUUUUGAACGCUCGGCAAGAUAGACCUUAAGUUCUUGUCCUGGAAAACAUUUUUUCUGGUCACUAUCACUUCUGCUUGAUUAGUACUGAACUCCAAGUCCUCCUUACUUGACCUUCCAUAAAGGAUAGAGUUUCAUUAUGGACAAACCCAUCUUUUUAUACCUAAAGUGGCUUCUGAAUCCAACAUAAAUCAGGUCAUCAAUUUACCUGUGUUCUUUCCAAAAUUCUCAAAGUUGAACACCUGCAUCUUUUGGAUAUACACUGGCACUUAGAUUUUUUUCUGCACAGAACCCAAGAUUUUAGGAAAACUGACAAAUUAUUUGUAUCCUUUUCCAAGAAAAACUUGGGUAAAGCAGUGUCUAAAGAGAUGCUAGUUAAAUGGUUGACUGACUGUAUAUCUUUUGUUUAUAAAGGAGAUUUAUCUUUAUCUAAGCUCCCCAAAGCACAUUCCAUGAGGUCCGAAGUCACUUAUGCUUUUUGGUCAAGCGCGUCUAUAGAUGAUAUUUGUGCAGCUGCCACUUGCUCCAAUGCUCAGAACUUUUUUGCUCCUUAGAGGUUAGAUAUACUAUCCAGAAAUAGGGCAGCAUUUGAUUGAGCUGUACUCUGGAAUAUCCUUCCACAAGGACUACCCAAGGUUCAUCUUGCUGGGGACUGUGCUUCAUCAGUUGAGGAAUGAAUGGAAAUGGCAAAAUCCAAUACAAAAGUUGUGUGGUCACCAUAAUGAUGCAUCUGUGUUGUCCACUUUCAUUCUUCCUCAACUUCCCUCCCUUCAACCCCCUUCACUCUUUUCCUAGUGAGACGUAAGGGAUGUCCCUUUGGGAACCUGCCUGUUCCCUGUUUGGACUGCAGCCUUUCUGUAUGCCUCUAUCUUGUCUUUUGAUAUAAUGAUAUGGUGUCAUGUAUAUGUUAGUGUUGAGACAGCAAACUCAGUCUGAAGUAUGGCAGGGAUAGUAGGGCAUCAGGGUAAAGGAAGGAGCUUGAGAGCUGGAUCUGUGAGUCUAGUAAAGGCUGCCAAGCUGGAUUCAAGUUCAGAUCCAAGACCCAUUCGUUGAAGAAUGAAAAUGGACAACACAAAUGCAUCAUAAUGGUUAGUACAUAACUUUUGUUUCCUCCAUCUUUGUUUUCUGUUGUCCUUGAAGGCAAGGGUUAAGCUACAUAGAGGGGUGCUGUUAUUUUGAGUAAAGGGGGGGGGGUCUUUUUUUUCCAACUAAAUUUAAAUCCCUCUCACAGCAUACUGACUAUAUAUAUAUAUAUAUCUAUAUAUAUAUAUAUAUAUAUAUAUCAGGCUUGGGAGAGCAUUGAAGUGUGGCCUGAGCCCGUAGAGCAUCCACAUAAGCUUGUCUCACUCCUGCCCCUGAGCCCCAGCAUUCCUUCUGAGCUCCUUUCUCCACAAGAGCUCAAGCAAUGGGCUGCCUGGCAUGUCCAUUCUCUCUGCCUGCACUAAGACCCAGAAUUGUUAAUCGAACUUGGCCACCUGGGCUAUAAUCAGGAUUGUAUCCAUCUACAUCACCAGUGCAAGUUACCAGCUCACUUAUACAGUUAAGAAACAUUCAAACAAGCAAGCAGCUAAGUAAUAGGACCAGAGUGGUGGUCUAUUAUUCAUGCUGUGAUCCUUUCAGGCAGAAGGAUGUGAAGUUCAUUAUGGUAGCCUUUGAACUCAGCCCUUUUAUUUGAUUGUAACCUAUUAGGCAUGCUCCUGUUUUCAGGAGCAGCCCUGGAGCAAUAUGUGUUUAAUUAACUUGCUAAGUAUCUCACGGCCUGUAAUGAAGACCAGGAAAAUAGUUGUCCUCAAAGUAUCUUGCAAAAUUGUAGAUGGAUGAAUUCUUGUGAUUCCAUACUGUUUAUAUUUUUUAAUUGGAUGCUUGGCUUUUCUUUGUGAAUUCUUACAAAGGAGUUAAAAAAGUCAGGAGACCUGAACAGUUUAUCAGCAGUUAAACCCAUUUCCAAUUUGAUCUGGUAGAGGAUCCUCAAACCAAGCUUUUCCAGAAGAAGGUUAGUACAGAAUUGGAGUUAGAAAUAUGAAUUCUGUCUUCAUUAUCUUUAUUCUACAGUCUAUCUUCCCAGUAACAGCUGUUGAAUGUUAAUUCUUUUCGUUUAGUCAUACUUUGAAAUGAUUAAAAGUACUUGCUGAAAAGGGCCUUUUUGUGAUCUUAAAAGUCAUAUUAUCUGAUUCCUAGACCAUCAUAUAGUAUUAAACCAGUUAGCAAAUGAAAAAAAAAAAUUUGUUCUGUCUGUCUGCUGUUUUGUGAAAGUUGGAGUAUGAACCUUGCCAUUAGAACUAAGCAAAGGUACAAGAUGUGGUAUUUUGUUACAUGAUUUUAUUUCCUUACUGCAAACUUGGAAUAAGCAUUUCAGAUUUCCUCAUCACAUUACUUUGUACAUUAUUAUUAUUACUUUUUGAUUCUCAAAAUUUCACAUGCAUGAUUUCAGUCCUGUAUUUUUGGAAGUGGCUGAGUUUUAUUUCAGAUGGGCAAGUGACUCCUGAGAUCCAGAAACACAUUUAUAAAAGACUGAUUUCUUUCCAUUGUAAGCAAAGCCUGAAUUUGCUAAAAAUAUGAAGGUUUUUGGCUCUUGUAUGAUUGUAUCCAUUGUGACAAAAAUGUGCAUUUAUUUCUUUGGGUAAUGUAGUCUGUUAAAUCCAGUUCAGCAGGAGUGUCACUGAAAAGGAAUGCUGCCUCUUCCUGAGAUACAUAUUUGUUUUAUAAUUUUAUAAAAGCUAUCAAAAGGAAAUAUGAUGAUGGGAAAUGUUUUUAAACACGCACACACCAUGUAUUUCUUGAUAGGGACUAUUUCAUUGUUUUUCAAUAUCUUUGUUACCUUGCGUGUCUGUGGGAGAAAUGAGGGCUGUCUGUUGUUUUGCCAUCCAUUAAAAAAAGAACUCAUAGCUGUUUUAAGCUGUUGGGUGAUGCUACAUCCUUCUUGAGUCAGAAUUUAGACUGGUAGACUAGCACUGCUUUUCUUAUGGAUGUUAUUUUAAUAAUAAAUUGCUAAAUGUA